GAUCAUGGCUCAGGAUGAACGCUAGCUACAGGCUUAACACAUGCAAGUCGAGGGGCAGCAUGAUCUAAGCUUGCUUAGAUUGAUGGCGACCGGCGCACGGGUGAGUAACGCGUAUCCAACCUUCCCUAUAGUAGAGGAUAGCCCGGCGAAAGUCGGAUUAAUACUCUAUGUUUUCCAAUGCAGACAUCUAAGUUGGAACAAAGGUUUACCGCUAUAGGAUGGGGAUGCGUCUGAUUAGAUUGUAGGCGGGGUAACGGCCCACCUAGUCGACGAUCAGUAGGGGUUCUGAGAGGAAGGUCCCCCACAUUGGAACUGAGACACGGUCCAAACUCCUACGGGAGGCAGCAGUGAGGAAUAUUGGUCAAUGGGCGAGAGCCUGAACCAGCCAAGUAAGCGUGCAGGAUGACGGCCCUAUGGGUUGUAAACUGCUUUUAUCGGGGGAUAAAGUGAGGGACGUGUCCCUUAUUGUAGGUACCCGAUGAAUAAGGACCGGCUAAUUCCGUGCCAGCCGCGGC
rnacentral:rRNA from 1 species